GUUUAUUCAGUUCCCGUCUCUGGUUGUCGCUAAGUUAUUCUCAAGUUCUUCUUCCUGCAAUUCCUUUCAUUGCAAUCAUCUUCUCCGGCGUUCCCCAUCCAAUCUUACAGGCUUUGUUUUGUGAUUUGCUCCAAAGGGCGAGGAACUGCAAGUUUUCUGUUUCAUAUUUGAUGUUGAUGACGAGUUGCACAUGGUUGGGCUGUGUGGUACGAUGUUGAAUAUGAAGUAGCUGCAUGCAAAGAGUGCAGAGGAGGCGUAUAUGACGAGUUGCAGUGGUUUGCUAAGCAUGUAAAGUAAUUAUCUCCUUCUCAUUCUGUUUCUGAUGAGAACAAAUAUGGAUUCUUAAAUGGUAGAAUAAUUCUUGGAACUCUGAUCCAAUUCGAAGUCUUGAUCUAUUAAGUAUGAUAUUUGAUACUCUGCUAUAUAUUCCAAAACAAUGUUCUUAUUUCAAGUUGGAGAAAAUCAUACCAUAAGUAACCAGAUAUGCUGAGGACUGAUGGCCAAAAUGUGGACGGUUUACGUGGACAUGAAUCUAGAGAUUUUAGUGCAAUCAGCUUAUAGCCUUCUAGUCUGGAGCUUCAAUUCAUCAGUCUUCAGAACCAUGCUAUCAAACAAGUGGGGCUUCUAUGUUGUGCGGUUAUAGUUUCAUCCUCCUUGAAAAGUAUAAUGCUAACUUGGUACCGACUCAAAUGAGGCGUUGGAAAUUACCAAACACAUGGAAUUGGAAAUCAUGAUACUAAUAUGGUAUGGAAUGUGACAUUGUAUGCGUGAUUUUUUAUGUGGGAGAUGAUUAACGGUUAAGUGAACCUACCGUUGAACAAAUAAAACUCGUGUUUGAACAACUGAAAAACUAUUACAUCUUCUGAUAUACAA